AUUGAACGCUGGCGGCAGGCCUAACACAUGCAAGUCGAGCGUGCGGCGGGCGGGGGUGUAAUGUCUGGGAAACUGCCUGCUAGAGGGGGAGAACUACUGGGAACGGCAGGUAAUAACGCAUGCCAUCAGAUGUGUCCAGAUGGGAUUAGCUAGUGGGUGGGGUAACGGCUAACCUAGGCGACGAUCCAUAGCUGGCCUGAGAGGAUGACCAGCCACACUGGAACUGAGACACGGUCCAGACUCCUACGGGAGGCAGCAGUGGGGAAUAUUGCACAAUGGGCGCAAGCCUGAUGCAGCCAUGCCGCGUGUGUGAAGAAGGCCUUCGGGUUGUAAAGCACUGUUAGCGGGGAGGCGUUACCUGCAGAAGAAGCAACGGCUAACUCCGUGCCAGCAGCCGCGGUAAUAC
rnacentral:rRNA from 1 species